GGCUGUGUGGCGAAAUGGCAUCGCGUCUGACUACAAUAAUGCGAAAUCAGGAGAUUGCAGGUUCGACCCCUGUCUCGGUCA
rnacentral:tRNA from 1 species